CGUAGCCUGCUUGCUAGCACCAACAUGAGGGCGAAUGUAGCAUGGCUAUCCGAAAUUACGCGUUCAAAGGAUCUUAGUUGUUAUAGAUUGCAUGCUAGAAAUGUGAAGACUGGCGGGACCCUGAGGUGAUGAGGGACAUAGAGCUUGCCACUGGAGAGGACCUGGGAAGGGCAAGAAAGGUAAAGGGAAGGGGAAGGGCAAGAAGAAAUACCCCAACUUCAAUGGUCUCAAGAAGAGUGCCAUCACUUUACGCUCCAGACUAGAGAGGAAGGUUUUCAACCCGAGCUCCAUGAGACGAGUGACAGACGUCAUAUAACAAAUCGACAAAAAUUGAAACAUGCAAAGUUUGCAAACCAAUUUAAUUGGGCUAUGCACUGAAUUAACAGAAAGUUAAGGAGACCGGUUGAUUUUGUGCCAGAAAUAUCAUGCUCAUCUACAGAUACUGUCUCUACUGGUGGAAAUAACUCAGGAACAUUUUUCAAGAUUCACACACAAAGACUUAUCGGCCAUUUAAUGUACAUGUAAUAACACGUUGUUGAAUUGCAUGCUUUCUGAUUUGUAAAAGACAUCCAAACCGUUUUGAUUCGUUUUUAUAAUAUAAUUUGUCAAAUAAAGUUAUUUAUUGAUUUAUGUGUAACAUGAAUGUGAUGCCAGUCUUUGUCAUAUAUUUACACUUGAUGUAUCGUUGUGAUUUUCAAUGCCAUAACUCUCAGAACUCUUUUUACUGCUUUGUACACUGCAACUCAAUUUUUCAAUAUCUCUUUUGUAAUUAUCAUAAACAACCAGUGCUUAAUUUUCGAUGUGGAAGUGUUAACAGAAGUUACCACUUGUGGAUGACCGGCAGCUUUUACAAAUGUUGCCUACACCUACAUAGGUUGCCAAUAGCUGCCCUGUGCAGCAUGUUUCAUAAUAAACACUGUAUCAUUAUUUUUUUUACAUUUUAAAUAAUGCUUAUUUCCUCUGAUAUUGUGUAGAUUAUAGAUAUUAUUUAUUAUAUUUAACUAUGCAUGUCUUAAGAUAAAAUUAUUUUUUUCAAUUACGAACUUCCGGGGAACAACUGCCUUGUUCUGUUGCAGAACGACAGAUUUUU